CAGCCGGCAAAACGUUUCUCUGACACAUGACUGAGAGCAUGUUUCAGGCCAAGAGACUUCAAUUCCAAGCUGUAACCUGCAGAGUAUAAAAGCUAAUCUUCUGCUGCACAGGGUUACAUCACAGCUCUCACUCUGGACGGAGCUUUGAGACUAAACUGAAAUAGAAACAGCACUGUCUUUGAUGCGAGAGCUAAAAGUAACCCACCCGUAUAGUAACCUGUCUAUCCUGUCUCUAGAAAUCAAGACCUGAACCAGCUCUAACUAGGAAGCCUGCUCUUAAAGCUAGAGAGGGAGUCUGAUUCCAGAGGAGAGGGGCCUGAUAGCUGGGGGUCUGCAUGUUAGGACCACACUCUCCUGGAACGGUAAUAGAGCACUACGAGCUCUUUACGGUAUGAUGGUUCCUGAACAUGAAGAGCUUUGUAAGUCAGAAGAGUUUUUAACUCACCCUUACAUGCCAAUGAAGAGAUGUGCCAUCUUCUCCUGGUUCUGGUCAGUACCCGGGCUGCAGCAUUUUGGAGGACAUCUUGUCAGGGCAGCCUGAUAAUAAUUAAAACAAUAAUGAUAAUAAUAAUCAUAAUAAAAGUAUAGGUAACGUGACAGCCAUGAUCCACAUCCAGGAUGGAAAAAAAAACACAUGCAUUCAUAUGUGCAUGUAUGUCUGCGCUGCACCACUCUGCUCUGUAUUCUAUCACUGUUAUGCACACUUGUGAUAGGGUGACCAUAUGUCCUCUUUUACCCCGACAUGUCCUCUUUUGGGGGGCUGUCCAGCCAGUCCGGGGGGAGUUUAUAAAAUCCUUCAAAUGUCCAGGGUUUUGUAUGGAAGCCCGUUUCUGCCAGUGAGGAAAAAAAAGGAAAAAAAGAUUAGAUCUUUUUUUUUUCUUUCCUAAUUUUUUUGGAAAUUCAGAAUAUUGCGCACAACUCCACCCCGUAUAGCUAUAAGCUAUAAAGUCCUGUUUUGACAGAACUUGACACUUUAGAUUAGAUUCAACUUUAUUGUCACUGAAAACAGUACAGGUACAGGAACAACAAAAUGCAGUUUAGCAUCUAACCAUUAGUACAAGGUAGUAAAGUGCAAGGAAUGUACAUAUGGGCAGUGCAGGUAUGAACUGAAUAUACUAUAUAGUGCAAUGAAUAUGCUAAAAAUAUAUGCACAAAUAUGAACAAAAUAUAUAUUUAUUCACAUGCACUUUGAAUUAUUGCACUGUAGUCAACAAAAUUAACACUAAAUCUGUCGUUGAGUAUUUGCACAUUGUAUUUAUUGGUGAACUCUCUGUUCUACAUGUGUCUCUAUCACCUGCCAAGGGACUACAGAUGUAAAUUAGCAUCUUAGCUAACUCUGGUGUAUUUAUAUUUGUAUUGUUAUACUUAUGUUCACGAAUGUGCAGUGUCCCCUCUCUAAAUAAAUACAUUAAAUGUUGCCUGGACAAGAGUCAGCUGGCUUUUGCACUCAAAGGUUUACAUCAGUCAUUGACGUGGUGAAGAUGGUGCAGACAGAUAAAACGUCUAAUUCUUGUCAUGAUAUUUUCUGUUUAUUUAGUUUUUCCCUGGUUUUGUGAUUUUGCCCUAAUGUUCCUGUUCCCCUGUAGUCCUGUCUUGUGAGUUUUCAUUUUUUCUUUGACCCUGUUUCCCUCCUGUUCUCAAUGUUUCCUGUUUUAUUUUGUAGGAGUUGAAUCCUAGUUUCCACUCCUUCGUUAAUCACCCAUGAGUCUCACCUGUGUCUCUUCUGCCGCACCUCGUUUCCCAGUGUGUGUAUAAAGUCCCUGUCUUCCCCUCUGUUCUGGUUGGUUCAUUGUGAAUGUCUGUUUGUUAAGUUGUGUGAUGCCAGUGUCCCCAGUCUCUCCUUGUGAUUUUUUCUCCCCGUGCCUUUUGCUGGAUUUUGUCCUUUUGGAUUUUUGGUUGGUCAUUUUCUAGUAAGCAUUUUUAGCUCUUUAUUUAAGUUAUUUUUUCAUUAAAUCAUUUUUUGUUCUGCAAUUCGUUUGUUUAACCCUGGACUGUGACACAUUCAUGGGCACUUCUCAGACAGACCCCUCCAACAAAGCUCCUUUUUGAAACGUACCCAGAACUGAAUAUCUCUGUCCCCGUUCGUCCUACAUCCAUUUAUCCAUUUGACAUGCAGAGAAGAAGCUCUGAACGGUAUUUGGAUUUUAGUGCUGACCCGUGUUGGCUUUCUGAGAGCACAUGAAGUCACAAACAUUAACAGUCUACUUUGAGAAAAUCAAAAAUCAAGAGCAGCUCCAUGCCGAGUUACUAAACGAGUGAUUUAAUGAGUUUGUGAACUAUUAUUUACAUCUGCAAACAUCAAACUCCUCUGAUAACUGAAAGGCAAUUAGGGUGUAAAAUGAAAAGGCCUUUUAUUUUUUAAUGCCAUAGUGACUCUCUGCAGCUUUCACAGAGCAGCGGUGGCACUAAUGGAAGCUGCACGGCCCACUCACGGACACUCGCUAUUUGAAAACGGCUUGUGUAAUUCUCAUUAGCAUUCAUUUCAUGCGGGAAGGAAAGAGAGAUAAAGAGAGCGAGGGAGAGGCAGGGAACAUAAACAAAGAGCGAGCGAACAGGCAAAUUGGAGGCAGAAUGGUUUAGCAAAUGAGCUGACAAUGAGAGUUUCACCCAUCAGCUGAACCGGGCCUCAGAGGGAUCCUGCUGUCUGUGCGAAGAAAAGCAUUCGCCGUAAUAAUAACGAGCAGCGCUGACGGAGAAACAGAGCGCGCUCAAACUGUUUCCACAUGACCUGAAACUGCUUCAAUUUAGAGACCGCUAACUCUGUCUGCAGAGGGAGCCGUGUUUCCAGGUUUUCAUGAACACGCCGUGUCACCAGGGAGUCAUGGCGUGUUAAUAUUGACUCUGAGUUUGAUAUAUGAACUCCGUGUGUUGGAGUUGUGAAGUAUUUAGCGAUGCCUCAGACUUUUCUGUGAGGCCCCCUUUGGAGGAUGGAAGAUCUCCAGCUGACCGUCACGUUUAGAGCCUCAGGUAACGAUCAAUCGGCUCACCUGCUGGUUCUGGAUCGCUAACCUCCGAGACCUCUCCUUGAUGGUCCCAAAUUUGGAGGCUCUACCGUUGGGUUUUUCUGGUCUUGAUAAGCAAAGGUCAAACAGGAAGGUACACAAACUGAGAUCAGCUUAAUCUGGGCAGCCGAAUGUUCACAUGAGGUUCGAGAAGGGACUGAUAAAUGACUGCAUGUUUAUCAGUGUGGUUCGGGUUUUGAUGGUCCACUUCAGAGGACUGGAAAUGUCCUUACAUCUGCAAAAACAGCCCAAGGUUUGAGUGUGUACAGUGUUUUUAAACAGAUACACCUUGAAACUUAAAUGGAUUAGUCCGCCUCAUUACGCCGUGCGCGUGCUCCACUUACGGAGAUACAUGUUUAUCUUUGAAAAGGAGGAAGGUUACGGAGCUCGGGGUGAAUUAUCUUACCUGUGGCUCUGCGGCGGUAUGAUGAUAUUCAAGGUGAAGCCAAAUUGAAAUUCUAAUGAAUUAGUUUUACAUGCCGCAUUAUGGUGGUUUCUGCACAUAGAUGGGUCAGGCGUGGGUUAUCAAGAUGAUAAAUCACACGGUACGAACACGCUCAAGGAGAGGGCAGAGCUGCCGUCCUCCGGGGAAAAGUACCAGACAGAAACUUUGCUUUUAAAAGCUCGCACCAGCCAAUUUGAUGCGCCGAAUACUCAGCUGUGAACGCACCUCCAAUGAAACACACACAACACCUACACCCCCAGAGGGACAGGAAGACACAACGAGAUUGAAUAAAUGGAUGAAACGGCGAAGGAGGAGAGACAGCCUGCUUUAGUUAACCUCCUGUUUGGUGGUGUUGAGACAGCAGCUCUUCUCUUCGAAGCAGAAAGCUCUACAAAGUGAAGACAGAGCAACAAAUGUAAUCAAGAACAAUGUAGGAGUGAUUUUAAAACCCAUCACUGCGCGGAGCGACGCGGCAUGGCGAGACGUGGCGGCUUCAGCUCCUCUGAGAGUUCUGGGAGUACACAGCAGCGAGUCGAAGCUGUCAGGAUGAAGGUCAGGCAUAUUUUUACACAACAGUUAAUGUCGGACAGGAAACCGUGUGCAGAUCCAGCCGCCUUAAGAGUUUGUCCACUAGCUGAACAGAUCCAAGCGUCUCUUAAAACAAUAUCAUUUUUACAGACUUGAUCUGAAUAAUAUGAAAAGAUAAAAACCCGAAUCUGCUUCAGUCACUUCUUGGCUGAGCAACAACAGCCGGAAUAAAUCACUGCAGCGUCACACGACGGGAAACAAAAUUCCAGCGAAGCAACUGUUUGUUAAUGUGGUUCAGGGAAGUCUGAGAAAGAAGGAGGACUUAGUCUCUAACCCCACAUUUCCACCGCAUCCGGAA
rnacentral:lncRNA from 1 species